rnacentral:rRNA from 1 species
AACUAACAAGGAUUCCCCUAGUAACUGCGAGUGAAGCGGGAAAAGCUCAAAUUUAAAAUCUGUCAGCCUUUGGCUGUCCGAGUUGUAAUCUAGAGAAGUGUUAUCCGCGCUGGACCGUGUACAAGUCUCCUGGAAUGGAGCGUCAUAGAGGGUGAGAAUCCCGUCUUUGACACGGACUGCCAGGGCUUUGUGAUGCGCUCUCAAAGAGUCGAGUUGUUUGGGAAUGCAGCUCAAAAUGGGUGGUAAAUUCCAUCUAAAGCUAAAUAUUGGCGAGAGACCGAUAGCGAACAAGUACCGUGAGGGAAAGAUGAAAAGAACUUUGGAAAGAGAGUUAAACAGUACGUGAAAUUGCUGAAAGGGAAACGCUUGAAGUCAGUCGCGUUGUCCAGGGAUCAACCUUGCUUUUGCUUGGUGUACUUUCUGGUUAACGGGUCAGCAUCAAUUUUGACUGUUGGAAAAAGAUCAGGGGAAUGUGGCAUCUUCGGAUGUGUUAUAGCCCUUGGUUGCAUACAAUGGUUGGGAUUGAGGAACUCAGCACGCCGCAAGGCCGGGUUUUAACCACGUACGUGCUUAGGAUGCUGGCAUAAUGGCUUUAAUCGACCCGUCUUGAAACACGGACCAAGGAGUCUAACAUGCCUGCGAGUGUUUGGGUGGAAAACCCGAGCGCGUAAUGAAAGUGAAAGUUGAGAUCCUUGUCAUGGGGAGCAUCGACGCCCGGACCAGACCUUUUGUGACGGUUCCGCGGUAGAGCAUGUAUGUUGGGACCCGAAAGAUGGUGAACUAUGCCUGAAUAGGGUGAAGCCAGAGGAAACUCUGGUGGAGGCUCGUAGCGAUUCUGACGUGCAAAUCGAUCGUCAAAUUUGGGUAUAGGGGCGAAAGACUAAUU